rnacentral:rRNA from 1 species
CAGUAGCCGCGGUAAUACGUAGGGUGCAAGCGUUAAUCGGAAUUACUGGGCGUAAAGCGUGCGCAGGCGGUUGUGUAAGACAGGUGUGAAAUCCCCGGGCUUAACCUGGGAAUUGCAUUUGUGACUGCACGACUAGAGUGUGUCAGAGGGGGGUGGAAUUCCACGUGUAGCAGUGAAAUGCGUAGAUAUGUGGAGGAACACCAAUGGCGAAGGCAGCCCCCUGGGAUAACACUGACGCUCAUGCACGAAAGCGUGGGGAGCAAACAGGAUUAGAUUCCCGAGUAGUCCCUGUCUCUUAUAC